rnacentral:rRNA from 1 species
UACGUAGGCAGCGAGCGUUGUUCGGAGUUACUGGGCGUAAAGGGUGUGUAGGCGGUUGUUUAAGUUUGGUGUGAAAUCUCCCGGCUCAACCUGGGAGGGUGCGCCGAAUACUGAAUGACUUGGAGUGCGGGAGAGGAAAGUGGAAUUCCUGGUGUAGCGGUGAAAUGCGUAGAUAUCAGGAGGAACACCGGUGGUGUAGACGGCUUUCUGGACCGUAACUGACGCUGAGACACGAAAGCGUGGGUAGCAAACAGG